rnacentral:rRNA from 1 species
UACGUAGGGCGCAAGCGUUGUCCGGAAUCAUUGGGCGUAAAGAGCUCGUAGGUGGUCUGUUACGUCUGCUGUGAAAUCCUAGGGCUUAACCCUGGGCCUGCAGUGGAUACGGGCAGACUAGAGGUAGGUAGGGGAGAAUGGAAUUCCCGGUGUAGCGGUGAAAUGCGCAGAUAUCGGGAGGAACACCGGUGGCGAAGGCGGUUCUCUGGACAGUUCCUGACGCUGAGGCACGAAGGUCAGGGGAGCAAACGGG